CGGGGUAUAGCACAGUUGGUUAGUGCGCCGGGCUGGGGGUCCGGAGGUCGGCAGUUCAAGUCUGCCUACCCCGACCA
rnacentral:tRNA from 1 species